UUAACUCAAAUUUCUAUGGAUUUGGAACUUUUGCCUACGUUUGCCGCUAGGGGCGCUGUUCUAAUUACAUACAAAUUUGAGUUA
rfam:Bombyx mori DNA, contig: Bm_scaf24_contig16199, strain: p50T/Dazao, build 2, whole genome shotgun sequence.